rnacentral:tRNA from 1 species
GCGAGAGUGGCGGAAUGGCAGACGCGCUGGACUUAGGAUCCAGUGGGGAAGCCCGUGAGGGUUCAAAUCCCUCCUCUCGCA